rnacentral:pre_miRNA from 1 species
AUUCUACUCCCUCCGUUGCACAAUACAUGCCUUCUAUUUGUCAAAAUAUAUAUGUAUCUAGACAUGUUUUAGUAUAUAGGUACAUCCAUUUUUGGACGAAUGGAAGUCAAGUAGUAUUUUGGAAUGGAGGGAGUACACA